GAUGAACGCUGGCGGCGUGCCUAAUACAUGCAAGUCGAGCGAACAGAUGAGGAGCUUGCUCCUCUGACGUUAGCGGCGGACGGGUGAGUAACACGUGGAUAACCUACCUAUAAGACUGGGAUAACUUCGGGAAACCGGAGCUAAUACCGGAUAAUAUAUUGAACCGCAUGGUUCAAUAGUGAAAGACGGUUUUGCUGUCACUUAUAGAUGGAUCCGCGCCGCAUUAGCUAGUUGGUAAGGUAACGGCUUACCAAGGCAACGAUGCGUAGCCGACCUGAGAGGGUGAUCGGCCACACUGGAACUGAGACACGGUCCAGACUCCUACGGGAGGCAGCAGUAGGGAAUCUUCCGCAAUGGGCGAAAGCCUGACGGAGCAACGCCGCGUGAGUGAUGAAGGUCUUCGGAUCGUAAAACUCUGUUAUUGGGGAAGAACAAAUGUGUAAGUAACUAUGCACGUCUUGACGAUACCUAAUCAGAAAGCCACGGCUAACUACGUG
rnacentral:rRNA from 1 species